rnacentral:misc_RNA from 1 species
GAAACAUUUGGAAAAUCAGUGGAAUGGCUCAAGCUAUGGCUUCAAUGGCUGGCUUACGUGGCUCCUCCUCCCAGGCUGUUUUGGAAGGCAGCCUCCAUCUCAACAGCUCGACCCGCUUGACCGGAGCCACCAGUGGCAGACGGGUUGCUGUGGCUCGACCGGGUUACACUAUUAGGGCCCAACAGGGGUCAACUGAGACCGAGACUAGUCGCCGGGCGAUGCUGGGUCUAGUGGCUGCAGGGCUAGCCUCUGGGUCUCUUGUUCAAGCUGUGCUCGCCGAAGCCAAAUCCAUCAAGGUUGGCCCACCGCCUCCACCCUCCGGUGGAUUGCCUGGAACAUUGAACGCUGAUGAGGCAAG